rnacentral:rRNA from 1 species
AAUCAGCUUUCCAGUAUUGGUGGCAUCACAGGUGUGAUAACUAUCUACGCUCGUGGUGUUUUUCCAGGUAACCCUGGGGGCUCAUAGACGUCUCUCCUUGGUGGGGACAGCUUUGUGAACGUUUGAUCUCAAAUCAGGUAGGACUACCCGCUGAACUUAAGCAUAUCAAUAAGCGGAGGAAAAGAAACUAACAAGGAUUCCCCUAGUAACUGCGAGUGAAGCGGGAAGAGCUCAAAUUUAAAAUCUGGCGUGCCUCUGGUCGUCCGAGUUGUAGUCUGGAGAAGCGUUUUCCGCGUUGGACCGUGUAUAAGUCUCUUGGAACAGGGCGUCAUAGAGGGUGAGAAUCCCGUCUUUGACACGGACUACCAAUGCUUUGUGAUGCGCUCUCAAAGAGUCGAGUUGUUUGGGAAUGCAGCUCAAAAUGGGUGGUAAAUUCCAUCUAAAGCUAAAUACAGGCGAGAGACCGAUAGCGAACAAGUACCGUGAGGGAAAGAUGAAAAGCACUUUGGAAAGAGAGUUAAACAGUACGUGAAAUUGCUGAAAGGGAAACGCUUGAAGUCAGUCAUGUCUGCCAGGACUCAGCCUUGCUUCUGCUUGGUGCAUUUUCUGGUUUGAUGGGCCAACAUCAAUUUUGACCGUUGGAGAAAGGCUUUGGGAAUGUGGCACCUUCGGGUGUGUUAUAGCCCUUUGCUGUAUACGGCGGUUGGGAUUGAGGACUGCAGCACGCCUUUAUGGCCGGGGUUCGCCCACGUACGUGCU